GCGANCCUGACGGAGCAUGCCGCGUGAGUGAUGAAGGUUUUCGGAUCGUAAGCUCUGUUGCCAGGGAAGAACGCUUGUUAGAGUAACUGCUCUCAAGGUGACGGUACCUGAGAAGAAAGCCCCGGCUAACUACGUGCCAGCAGCCGCGGUAAUACGUAGGGGGCAAGCGUUGUCCGGAAUUAUUGGGCGUAAAGCGCGCGCAGGCGGUCAUUUAAGUCUGGUGUUUAAUCCCGGGGCUCAACCCCGGAUCGCACUGGAAACUGGGUGACUUGAGUGCAGAAGAGGAGAGUGGAAUUCCACGUGUAGCGGUGAAAUGCGUAGAUAUGUGGAGGAACACCAGUGGCGAAGGCGACUCUCUGGGCUGUAACUGACGCUGAGGCGCGAAAGCGUGGGGAGCAAACAGGAUUAGAUACCCUGGUAGUCCACGCCGUAAACGAUGAGUGCUAGGUGUUAGGGGUUUCGAUACCCUUGGUGCCGAAGUUAACACAUUAAGCACUCCGCCUGGGGAGUACGGUCGCAAGACUGAAACUCAAAGGAAUUGACCGGGACCCGCACUACAGUUUAGUAUGUGGUUUACUUC
rnacentral:rRNA from 1 species